rnacentral:lncRNA from 1 species
GGGGGCUUCCUCCCAAUUGUGUAGAAGAAACAGGCAAUACAGAAGGAAACAGUGAGAGGAAAGAGGAUGUUUGGAUAAGAUUCUCCCAGCCAACUUGCAUCUCCUUACCGUGAAGGAAUUUACAUCGGCAUCCUGUGCUCAUGAAAAGCACAAAACUCUCCUUCAGCUGUCACCUCAUCUUCGAGAAAACAGUAUUUUAGUGGAAUGCAAUGUACUGCUUCACCUUCUGACGUUCCUUUCUUGAUGCUUGGGAAACAGGAAAGAGAUGAAACAAGGCCUUCAAAAGAAUAACAAGGACUGAGAACCUUUACAGUCUUCAAUUCCUACGAUUUUCAUACAGUUACCUCAGGAUUUUGUUCAUUAUCUGUGAGGGUUCCCUGUGGGGUUAUUCUAAAAGCUUCCACCCAGGGUCUCUGAACUGUCAUGCUGCAGUAAUU